rnacentral:rRNA from 1 species
UACGGGGGGGGCAAGCGUUGUUCGGAAUUACUGGGCGUAAAGGGCUCGUAGGCGGCCAGCACAAGUCAGUUGUGAAAUCUCCGAGCUUAACUCGGAAAGGUCAACUGAUACUGUGCGGCUAGAGUGCGGAAGGGGCAACUGGAAUUCUUGGUGUAGCGGUGAAAUGCGCAGAUAUCAGGAGGAACACCGGUGGCGAAGGCGGGUCUCUGGGCAACAACUGACGCUGAGGGGCGAAAGCGUGGGGAGCGAACAGG